CUGGCCGUAAACGAUGAACACUAGAUGUUGGGGGAAUCGACCCCCUCGGAGUCGUAGCUAACGCGUUAAGUGUUCCGCCUGGGGAGUACGCACGCAAGUGUGAAACUCAAAGGAAUUGACGGGGGCCCGCACAAGCGGUGGAGUAUGUGGUUUAAUUCGAUGCAACGCGAAGAACCUUACCAAGGCUUGACAUCCUGCGAAUCUCCAAGAAAUUGGAGAGUGCCUUUUGGAACGCAGUGACAGGUGGUGCAUGGCUGUCGUCAGCUCGUGUCGUGAGAUGUUGGGUUAAGUCCCGCAACGAGCGCAACCCACGUUUUUAGUUGCCAGCAUUAAGUUGGGCACUCUGGAAAAACUGCCGGUGACAAACCGGAGGAAGGUGUGGACGACGUCAAGUCAUCAUGCCCCUUACGCCUUGGGCUACACACGUACUACAAUGCUGCGGACAAAGAGUAGCGAUCUUGCGAAAGUUAGCUAAUCUCGUAAACCGUGGCUCAGUUCAGAUCGUAGGCUGCAACUCGCCUACGUGAAGGAGGAAUCGCUAGUAAUCGCAGGUCAGCAUACUGCGGUGAAUACGUUCCCGGGCCUUGUACACACCGCCCGUCACACCAUGGAAGUUGGCCAUGCCCGAAGUCGUUACUCUAACCUUUUGGAAGAGGGCGCCGAAGGCAGGGCUAAUGACUGGGGUGAAGUCGUAACAAGGUAGCCGUAGCGGAAGCUGCGGCUGGAUCACCUCCUAA
rnacentral:rRNA from 1 species